rnacentral:rRNA from 1 species
UACAGAGGUCUCGAGCGUUGUUCGGAAUGACUGGGCGUAAAGGGCGCGUAGCGGCCGCUUGCGUCGGAUGUGAAAGCCCGGGGCUCAACCCCGGAACCGGCAUCCGAUACGGGCGGCUCGAGACCGAGAGAGGUGAGUGGAAUACCCAGUGUAGAGGUGAAAUUCGUAGAUAUUGGGUGGAACACCGGUGGCGAAAGCGGCUCACUGGCUCGGUUCUGACGCUGAGGCGCGAAAGCGUGGGGAGCAAACAGG